rnacentral:piRNA from 1 species
UCCCUGUAAUAUUCUGGGAUGCCAAGGCGG